rnacentral:lncRNA from 1 species
UUUUCCUUUCUUUUCUUUUUUUUAGGACUGCACCUGCAGCAUAUGGAAGUUCCCAGAUAAGGUGUUGAAUUGGAGUUGCAGCUACCACCUCUACCACAGCCACAGCAACCAGAUCCGAGCUGGGUCUGCGAUCUAUGCUGCAGCUUUCGGUAACACUGGAUCCUUAAGCCACUGAACGAGACCCAGAAUCAAACCCUAAUUCUCACGGACACUAUGUUGGGUUCUUAACCCACUAAGCCACAAUGGGAACUCCAUGCUUAGCAUAGAUUUUUGGUUUUUUUUUUAACCAAGGUUUAUUCAGGUUGUAACAUGUACUGGCACUUUCUUCCUUUUUGUGAUGGAAUAAUAUUCCGUUGUAUAGAUAUAGCCUAUUUCAUUUAUCAAUUCAUCAGUUGAUUGACAUCUGGAUUAUUUCCUCUUUUUAGCUGGUAAGAAUAAUACUGCUAUGAGCAUUUGUAUACAAGUUUUUCUAAAAAUACUUAGUUUUGGUUUUCUUGGGUAUACUCCUAAGAGUGGGAUUGCUGGGUCAUGUGGGAGUUCAAUGCUUAAUAAUUUUUUCUUGUCUUUCUUUUUUAGGACUGCACCUGUAACAUAUGGACGGUCCCAGGCUAGGGGCUGAAUCAGAGCUGUGACCGCUGGCCUGCCCCACAGCCACGGCAACACAAGACACAUCUGUGACCUACACCACAGCUUACGGCAACGCCAGAUCCUUAACCCACAGAUGAGGCUAGGGAUCGAACCUGUGUCCUCAUGGAUGCUAGUUAGAUUCAUUUCCACUGAGCCACGAGGGGAACUCCCAAUGUUUAAUUUUGAAGACCAACCAAACUCUUUUCCGCAGCAGCUACACUGUUUUACAUUCCCUCCAGCAGUGUAUGAAGUUUCCAGUUUCUCUGUAUCCUCCCUAAGACUUAUUUUCUGGGGUUUUUUUGUUUGGUUGGUUGGUUGGUUUGGUUUGGGUUUUUUUUUGGCCACAUCUGUGGCAUGUGGAAGUUCCCAGGCCAGGGAUCCAAACCACUACAGCAGUGUCCCAGCUCACAGUGGUGAUAAUACCAGGUCCUUAGCCCACUAGGCCACCAGGGAACUCCCUCUUUUUAUUUCUUAAUUACACCUAUCCUAGUGGGUGUGGAAUGAUACUUCAUUGUGAUUUUGAUUUGCAUUUCCCAAAAAUUAAUUUCUUAAUGGUCACCCUGGGAAGUACAAUUAAACACCUUAAUUUAUAACAACUUAUGUUUGAACUAAUACCAACUUUGUUCAAUAGUAUACAAAAACUUUGCUACUACUAAAUACAUAGCUUUGUCUCCCUCAUAACAUUGUCAUAGAUUACAUAUUUAUACACUGUGUGCCCAUCAAUAGAUUUAAAAUUAUAGUUUUAAGCACUUGUAUUUAAAUCAUGUAGGAAAGAAAGAAUUACAAACCAAAAUUAAAUGAAUACCAACUCAUAUUUCCUUAUGAAGUUAUUUUUACUGGAAUUCUUUAUUUCCUAAUCUGGUUUCAAGUUAAUGUCCUUCAUUUCAGCCUAAAGGGGCUGACACCCUUUCCUUUUUUUGUAAGGCAAAUCCAUUGGCUAAAAAAUCGCUCCGUUUUUAUUUAUCUAGGCAUGUCUUCAUUUUUCAUUCAUGUAAAAAGUUUUAAAUGUUAGUAAAAAACAUGUAACAGUUUACCAUCUUAACCAUUUCUAAGUGUUUAUUUCAGUAGCGUUAGCCACAUUAAUCUUGUUGGGUAGCAGAUCUCUAGAACUUUCUCAGCUUGCAAAACAGAAACUCUGUGUGCACUGAACAAAAAGGUCCCCAUUUCCUCUUCAACCCAGCCCCUGGAAACCACCCUUCUACUCUCUGUUUCUGUGACUUUUACUACUAGAGUGUUUCUUAUAAAUAUUAUUCAGUAUUUGUCUUUUUUGUGGCUGGCUCAUUUCAAUUUAGCAUAACAUCCUAAAGUUUCAUCCAUGUUAUAACAGGUAACAGGAUACUCUUCUUUUGAAGGGAUGGAUAAUAUUCUACUGCAUUUUUUUUUUCUUUUUUGGCCACCCUGAGGCAUAGAGAGUUCCCUGGCCAGGGAUCACAUCUGAGCCACAGUGGCAACCCUAUGCCAAAGCCAAGGCAAUGCUGGAUCCUUAACCCAUUGUGCUGGACCGGGGAUCAAACCUGCAUCCCAGUGCUCCAGAGAUUCCAGCAAUCCCAUGGCACCACAGCAGGAACUCCUCCAUUGCAUUUAUAUACCAUAUUUUCUUUCUCCACUUAUCUCUUAGUGGACAUUUGCAUUGGUACCACCUCUUUGCUACUGCAAAUAAUAACUGCAAAGAACACGGACGCGCAAAUAUUUCCUCAAGAUCUUGCUUUUAAUUAUUUUGCUUAUAUAUUCAAAGUGAAAUUGAAUAUAUAAUUCAAUUCAUCCUAUUUUAAUUUUUUUUUUUUGGUCUUAUUGUCUUUUGUUGUUGUUGUUGUUGCUAUUUCUUGGGCCGCUCCUGCGGCAUAUGGAGGUUCCCAGGCUAGGGGUUGAAUCGGAGCUGUAGCCACCGGCCUACGCCAGGGCCACAGCAACGCGGGAUCCGAGCCGCGUCUGCAACCUACACCACAGCUCACUGCAACGCCGGAUCGUUAACCCACUGAGCAAGGGCAGGGACCGAACCUGCAACCUCAUGGUUCCUAGUCGGAUUCGUUAACCACUGUGCCACGACGGGAACUCCCUAUUUUAAAUUUUUUGAGGAACCUUGGAGUCCCUGUUGUGGCUCAC